rnacentral:misc_RNA from 1 species
GAAAUGCGAUAAGUAAUGUGAAUUGCAGAAUUCAGUGAAUCAUCGAAUCUUUGAACGCACAUUGCGCCCCCUGGCAUUCCGGGGGGCAUGCCUGUUCGAGCGUCUCUGGGACGAACACCCUCGCGCACGGUGGAUGCGCGGUCUUGGCGGCGGUGGCGUGCACGACGAGGUGGCCACCGGGCUGAAAUCAAUGGGCGGACGCCUGCCGCGUGGCCGAGCGUGAUAAGGCGAAAGUGCGCCAGCGCGCGGCGAGGCUGCCAGCCAUAGCCCGUCCUCUCCCGGACGGGGGAGAAAAAGACAUCGGAACUCCUCGAAUCAGGCAGGGAUACCCGCUGAACUUAA